rnacentral:rRNA from 1 species
GUACCCAUCCCGAACACGACCGUUAAGCCCUCCAGCGCCGAUGGUACUUGGACCGCAGGGUCCUGGGAGAGUAGGACGUCGCCAAGC